ACCCUUAUGUUGUUGAUCCAUUUGUACAAACUCUGCUUACCGAAGGCCAUCAAGCUGCUGAGUACCUGGACAUUGGAAUAAAAGCUAGUGGGAAGCUGCAAGCUCUGGAUUCAAUGCUUAUGGAGUUGAAAAAGAAGGGUCUGAGGGUACUCAUUCUUUUUCAGUGAGGGAUGACAACAGGGCAAAGGUUAGGACUUGGGAGUCUUGCUCAUCUGCUCCCCUAUUCUCUAUCACUUCAUAGUCUUACUGGGUUUUAAGAAUCGUCGAAGGGCCCAUCAUAUUGGUGGUUCAGUAGAUACUCUGGACUUUGAGAGUCAAGAAAUAGCAAGGAAACGUAGGAAAGUGAUGAAUCGUGUUGUUGAUGACCUACCUUCAAAUUUUCAAGGUGAAAACUCUUCUACUGGAAAUGAGGAAGGUAAAAAAGCUGAAUAUGAGAAAAGAAGGAAAUUGUGUGAUGAGCAGAAGAGCUUACAUCUCUUACUGAUGCCAGAGAUAGCAAAG